GACGACGCUGGCGGCGUGCCUAACACAUGCAAGUCGAGCGGAGUCGAUCGACGGAAGCCUUCGGGCGGAAGAUGGUUGACUUAGCGGCGGAUGGGUGAGUAACGCGUGGGCAACCUGCCUCGAAGACCGGGAUAACAGCCCGAAAGGGCUGCUAAUACCGGAUGUGGUCAAAGAUCCGCAUGGAUUUUGAUUAAAGGGGAAACCCGUUUCGAGAUGGGCCCGCGUCCUAUCAGCUAGUUGGUGAGGUAAAAGCUCACCAAGGCGACGACGGGUAGCCGGCCUGAGAGGGUGACCGGCCACACUGGAAAACUGAGACACGGUCCAGACUCCUACGGGGGGCAGCAGUGGGGAAUCUUCCACAAUGGGCGAAAGCCUGAUGGAGCGACGCCGCGUGAGCGAAGAAGGCCUUCGGGUUGUAAAGCUCUGUCUGGAGGGACGAAGGAAGUGACGGUACCUCCGGAGGAAGCCACGGCUAACUACGUG
rnacentral:rRNA from 1 species